rnacentral:rRNA from 1 species
AAGUGGGUAAUCCUAUGCUGCCAAGAAAAGCCUCUAGCGAGUGUUAAAGCCGCCCGUACCCCAAACCGACACAGGUGGUCAGGUAGAGAAUACUAAGGCGAUCGAGAUAACUAUGGUUAAGGAACUCGGCAAAAUGCCCCCGUAACUUCGGGAGAAGGGGGGCCCGUUCUGGUGAGGAGAUUUACUCUCCGAGCUGGGAUUGGCCGCAGAGACCAGGCCCAAGCGACUGUUUACUAAAAACACAGGUCCAUGCUAAGUCGCAAGACGCUGUAUAUGGACUGACGCCUGCCCGGUGCUGGAACGUUAAGGGGACGGGUUAGCGACUUCGGUCGCGAAGCUCAGAACUUAAGCGCCAGUAAACGGCGGUGGUAACUAUAACCAUCCUAAGGUAGCGAAAUUCCUUGUCGGGUAAGUUCCGACCUGCACGAAUGGCGUAACGACUUGGGCGUUGUCUCAACCGUAGACUCGGCGAAAUUGCACUACGAGUAAAGAUGCUCGUUACGCGCGGCAGGACGAAAAGACCCCGGGACCUUUACUACAGCUUGGUAUUGGUGGUCGAUUCGAUUUGUGUAGGAUAGGUGGGAGACUGUGAACUUCGGACGCCAGUUCGAAGGGAGUCAUCGUUGAAAUACCACUCUGAUCGUAUUGGCUGUCUAACCUAGAUCCGUAAUCCGGAUCAGGGACAGUGCCUGGUGGGUAGUUUAACUGGGGCGGUUGCCUCCUGAAAUGUAACGGAGGCGCUCAAAGGUUCCCUCAGCCUGGUUGGCAAUCAGGUAUCGAGUGUAAGUGCACAAGAGAGCUUGACUGUGAGACUGACGGGUCGAGCAGGGACGAAAGUCGGAACUAGUGAUCCGGCGCUGGCAAGUGGAAGCGGCGUCGCUCAACGGAUAAAAGGUACCCCGGGGAUAACAGGCUGAUCUUGCCCAAGAGUCCAUAUCGACGGCAUGGUUUGGCACCUCGAUGUCGGCUCGUCGCAUCCUGGGGCUGGAGUAGGUCCCAAGGGUUGGGCUGUUCGCCCAUUAAAGCGGCACGCGAGCUGGGUUUAGAACGUCGUGAGACAGUUCGGUCCCUAUCCGCCGCGCGCGUAAGAGUCUUGAGAAGAUCUGUCCCUAGUACGAGAGGACCGGGAUGGACGAACCUCUGGUGUGUCAGUUGUCCUGCCAAGGGCACUGCUGAUUAGCUACGUUCGGAAGAGAUAACCGCUGAAAGCAUCUAAGCGGGAAACUCGCUUCAAGGUGAGGGCUCUCACAGGGUUAACCUGGUAAGGCCCCCAGUAGACCACUGGGCUAA